UGAAGGGGCCCAACUCAAAUCCCAUCCGAAUACACCGCAUGACAAUCAGUAAUUUUUCGAUAUUGGAGCGUAUUACAACGUUGUCCGUCGUUCUGGUGGAUUGUUUUUAGUAGUGGUUCAGUGCUGAGUGUGAUUCUUUUUCUGUUUUUUUUUUUUGUAAUAUCGAGUUAAUUGAAGAAAAAAAAAAAAAAAACAACACAACAAAGUAAAACAAAACCAUAUUCAAUAUUAUUGCAAAGAUUGUUUGUAUUUCUUAACGUGUAAAUUCAAAUGGGGUUUAAAAACCGACAAAACAAAUAAAACCUUGAGAAAAUCAAAGAAAGAAAAGUGAUUUGUCCAAAACAUCUUGUCUCAAUAAUAUUUAUUUUAUUGUGAAAAAA
rnacentral:sRNA from 1 species